rnacentral:rRNA from 1 species
AUUGAACGCUGGCGGCAGGCCUAACACAUGCAAGUCGAGCGAGCGGCGGACGGGUGAGUGAUGUGUGUGGACCUGCGCGAGAGGGGGGGAGAACUACUGGAAACGCUAGAUAAUACCGCGUACUACAGGAUGAACCCCUAUGGGAUUAGCUCGUAGGUGGGGUAACGGCUCACCAAGGCGACGAUCCCUAGCUGGUCUGAGAGGAUGAUCAGCCACACUGGGACUGAGACACGGCCCAGACGCCUACGGGAGGCAGCAGUGGGGAAUAUUGCACAAUGGGCGAAAGCCUGAUGCAGCCAUGCCGCGUGUAUGAAGAAGGCCUUCGGGUUGUAAAGUACUUUCAGUCGGGAGGCGUUACCGACAGAAGAAGCACCGGCUAACUCCGUGCCAGCAGCCGCGGUAAUAC